rnacentral:tRNA from 3 species
GGCCCCAUCGUCUAACGGUUAGGACGCCGGGUUUUCAUCCCGGCAACCGGGGUUCGAUUCCCCGUGGGGUCACCA